rnacentral:misc_RNA from 1 species
GAUGAAGAACGUAGCGAAAUGCGAUGAGUAGUGUGAAUUGCAGAAUUCAGUGAAUCAUCGAAACUUUGAACGCACAUUGCGCCCCUUGGUAUUCCAUGGGGCAUGCCUGUUCGAGCGUCAUCUACACCCUCAAGCUCUGCUUGGUGUUGGGCGUCUGUCCCGCCUCUGCGCGCGGACUCGCCCCAAAUUCAUUGGCAGCGGUCCUUGCCUCCUCUCGCGCAGCACAUUGCGCUUCUCGUGGUGCGCGGCCCGCGUCCACGAAGCAACAUUACCGUCUUUGACCUCGGAUCAGGUAGGGAUACCCGCUGAACUUAAGCAUAUCAAUAAGCGGAGGA